rnacentral:rRNA from 1 species
CUUUUCUUGUGUAAAGGAAUGAGAAGUAGGACCUGCCCAAUGAAUAUUUAAAUGGCCGCGGUAUUUUGACCGUGCAAAGGUAGCAUAAUCAUUAGUCUUUUUAUUGGGGACUAGAAUGAAUGGUUUGACGAGAUAAAUACUGUCUUUAGGUUAAUAAAUUGAAUUAAAUUUUUUAGUUAAAAAGCUUAAAUGUUUUUAUGGGACGAUAAGACCCUAUAGAGUUUAUAUAUAUUAUUAAUAUUAUUUGAGGGGGUAUGAGUAAUUUAUAAUGUUUAUAAUUUAUUUAAUUGGGGUGAUUAGGAGAUAAAUAGAUAACUCUCUCUUUUGUAGUGUUUACUAAUUUGUAAAAGUUGUGAUCCAUUAUUAUUGAUUAUAAGACUAAAUUACCUUAGGGAUAACAGCGUAAUCUUUUUUGAGAGUUCUCAUUAACAAUAAGGGUUGCGACCUCGAUGUUGGAUUAAGAGUAAAUUAUGGGUGAAGAGGCUUAAAAAAAAUUAGGUCUGUUCGACCUUUAAAAUCUUACA